GAUGAACGCUGGCGGCGUGCCUAAUACAUGCAAGUCGAGCGAACAGAUGAGGAGCUUGCUCCUCUGACGUUAGCGGCGGACGGGUGAGUAACACGUGGAUAACCUACCUAUAAGACUGGGAUAACUUCGGGAAACCGGAGCUAAUACCGGAUAAUAUAUUGAACCGCAUGGUUCAAUAGUGAAAGACGGUUUUGCUGUCACUCAUAGAUGGAUCCGCGCCGCAUUAGCUAGUUGGUAAGGUAACGGCUUACCAAGGCAACGAUGCGUAGCCGACCUGAGAGGGUGAUCGGCCACACUGGAACUGAGACACGGUCCAGACUCCUACGGGAGGCAGCAGUAGGGAAUCUUCCGCAAUGGGCGAAAGCCUGACGGAGCAACGCCGCGUGAGUGAUGAAGGUCUUCGGAUCGUAAAACUCUGUUAUUAGGGAAGAACAAAUGUGUAAGUAACUAUGCACGUCUUGACGGUACCUAAUCAGAAAGCCACGGCUAACUACGUG
rnacentral:rRNA from 1 species